rnacentral:misc_RNA from 1 species
GAAAUGCGAUAAGUAGUGUGAAUUGCAGAUUUCAGUGAAUCAUCGAAUCUUUGAACGCACAUUGCGCCCUUUGGUAUUCCGAAGGGCAUGCCUGUCUGAGCGUCAAUAAAUCAAUCAAACCCCCCGGGCUUGCGUUGGAGCUCUGCGGCUGUCCGCAGGCCCCUAAAUACAGUGGCGGGCUCGCUAUCACACCGAGUGCAGUAGUUUUCUUUCUCGCUCAGGGCGUGUAGUGGGUGCUAGCCGUGAAACCCCUUUUUCACAAGGUUGACCUCGGAUCAGGUAGGAAUACCCGCUGAACUUAA